rnacentral:rRNA from 1 species
UACGUAGGGGGCAAGCGUUGUUCGGAAUUACUGGGCGUAAAGGGCGCGUAGGCGGCACGGCAAGUCGGGAGUGAAAGGCCUGGGCUCAACCGAGGAACUGCUUUCGAGACUGCCGAGCUAGAGUGCGGAAGGGGCAACUGGAAUUCCCAGUGUAGCGGUGAAAUGCGUAGAUAUUGGGAAGAACACCUGAGGCGAAGGCGGGUUGCUGGGCCGACACUGACGCUGAUGCGCGAAAGCCAGGGGAGCAAACGGG